UACGAAGGGGGCUAGCGUUGCUCGGAAUGACUGGGCGUAAAGGGCGCGUAGGCGGAUGGCACAGUCAGAUGUGAAAUUCCCGGGCUUAACCUGGGGGCUGCAUUUGAUACGUGUGAUCUAGAGUGAGGAAGAGGGUCGUGGAAUUCCCAGUGUAGAGGUGAAAUUCGUAGAUAUUGGGAAGAACACCGGUGGCGAGGGCGGCGACCUGGUCCUUUUACUGACGCUGAGGCGCGAAAGCGUGGGGAGCAAACAGG
rnacentral:rRNA from 1 species